GAGUACACAAUUACAAGAUUGGAAGGAAUAGAUUCCCACCCCAUAAAAGCCAUCUCUCACUGCCGUUGACUGCCGAAGCGUGUAGACCUGUUUCUAGUGCUCAGUGAAGUUCACAAUACAACAAGUGACGACCCUCUAUCGAAAGUGAGUUGAAACAGAAAUGAACCAAGUGUUUUCUAAACUUACUCGUGGAAAAUCCAACACUUCUAAUCUCUAAUCCAAAUCAUAGCCUCCCGACUAAUUAUUUCAAUUUGAAUUAACUAGGUCGAAAAUGGCCCAAGUAACUAGAUCAGGCUCUCAUGAGCAAAACUGUAACCGUACCGUUCUACCUUCUUCGUAGCAAAAAGAUAAUGUAUCACAUCUUUCAAACCACACAAACAAUAUCAAAAAACAUGACCAGAAGGGUUGAAAUCAUGCACGUCAGGACACCCUUUUUUUGGAUCCCCCACAUUGCCAUAACUUUGUGAAUUUUGAAUUUUUUC
rnacentral:misc_RNA from 1 species